rnacentral:rRNA from 1 species
UACGUAGGUGACAAGCGUUGUCCGGAUUUACUGGGCGUAAAGAGCGCGCAGGCGGUCGAUCAAGUCGAGUGUGAAAGCCCCCGGCUCAACUGGGGAGGGUCAUUCGAUACUGAUCGACUGGAAGGCAGGAGAGGGAAGCGGAAUUCCCGGUGUAGUGGUGAAAUGCGUAGAUAUCGGGAGGAACACCAGUGGCGAAGGCGGCUUCCUGGCCUGUUCUUGACGCUGAGGCGCGAAAGCUAGGGGAGCAAACGGG